UAGCUAUUCUAAGAUGUGCAAUGGUAUUUCAUUGUGGUUUUAAUUUUCAUUUCCUGGUGACUAAUGAUGUUGAGCCACCUUUUUACAUACCUAUGUGAUGCAUGAAUGUUUUUUUUUAUGAUGUAUUCUUUUAAAUAUUUUCUCCAUUUUAAUUGGGUUGUUUUUCUUAUUAUUGAGUUUGUUUAUAUAUUCUAGGUAUAAGUGCUCUUUCUCUCACACACACAUAUAACAUAAAUUCUGUGGCUUGUUUUUUGAUCUCUCAACAGUGUUUGUCAAAGAGCAGAUGUUUUUUAAUCUUGGUGUGACUAUUGAUUUUUUUUAAUAGAUGUUAUUUUUAAGAAUAGAUUUAUGUUCACAGCAAAGUUGAGUAGAAAUUAGAUUUCCUAUAUACUCAUGGCACCCCACCCCCUAAAUCUUCCCCACUAUCAACAUCCUGCAACAGAGUUACAUUCUGUGAACCUACAUUGACACAUCAUUGUCACCCACAGACUAGUUUACAUUAGAACUCACUCUCGGUGUUUUACAUUCUAUGGGUUUUGACAAGUGGAUAAUGGCAUGCAUUCAACAUUAUGGUAUCAUAUGGCAUAGUUUUACUGCCCUAAACAUCCAAUGUGCUCCAUUUAGUCAUCCUUCCCUGCCCCCAACUCUAGCAACCACUGAUCUUUUUACUGUCUCCAUAGUUUUGCCUUUUUUAGAAUGUCAUAUUGCUAGAAUCAUACAGUAUGUAGUCCUUUCAGAUCAACUUCUCUCACUUAGUAAUAUGAAUUUGUUUCCUCCAUGUAUUUUCAUGGUUAGAUAGCUCAUUUCUUUUUAGUACUGAAAAAAAUUCCAUUGUCUGGAUGUACCACAGUUUAUUUGUCCAUUCAUCGUUGAGGGACAACUUGGUGGCUUCCAAGUUUUGGCAAUUAUGGAUAAAACUGUUGUAAACAUUCAUAUGCAGGCUUUUGUGUGUACAUGUUUUUGACUCAUUUGGGUAAAUACCAUGGAAUGAUUGCUGGAUCAUAUGUUAAGAGUAUGUUUAGUUUUAUAAGAAAUUGCCAAACUGUCUUCCACCACCAGCAGUGAUGAGAAUUCCAGUUGCUUCAUAUUUUUGCCAGCAUUUGGUGGUGUCAGUGUUUGGAUUUUUGCAAUUCUAAUAGGUGUGUAGUAGUAUUUCAUUGUUAGUUUUCAAUUCCCUAAUGAUACAUGAUGUUGAACAUCUUUGCAUAUGCUUAUUUUCUAUCAGUAUAUAUGUUUUUGGUGAAGUGUCUGUUCAAAUUUUUAACCCAUUUUUUUAAUCAGGCUGUUUGUUUUCUUAUUGUUGAGUCUUAAGACUAUUUUUCAUAUUUCAAGUAGAAUUACCAUAGAUUUUUGUGGUAUUUGUCCUUAUGUCCUCUGACUCUACUAAACUUAUUUAUUAAUCCUACCAAUUUUGUUUGAUUGCUUUUUUUUUCUUUUAGCUCCUUUGGGAUAUUCUUCCUUGUGUGUAUUGAUCUGUUUCAUGAUGUCUCUUAAGUUCCUUAAGCUUUCUUUAUUCUUUUUCAUGUUUUUGUUUUUGUUUUUGCAGCUCUGAUGGAAUAGAUCAGUGAUCCAUUUUCAAAUUCAUUGAUUCUUUCUUCUGGUUGUUCUAGUCUUUUAUUGAGACCCUCUAGUGAAUUUUCCAGUUCGAUUAUAGUGUUCUUUAGUGCCAUGAUUUCUGUUUGGUACUAUUUGAUAUUUGUUUGUCUUCGUUGAAAUUCUUGCAUUGUUCAUGCACUUUUCUGUUGAAUUCAAAGAGCAUCUUUAAGGCAGUUAUUUUGAAUUUUUAUUUUAGGUAAAUUAUGUAACUUUAUUUCAUUAGGGUCAGUUUCUUGAGAUUUAUCUUAUUCCCAUGUUUGCAACAUCAUUGCCUGAUUUUUAAUUUUCCUUGAUACUCUGUGCUGGUGUCUUUAUAUUUGACAAAGUAGGCACCUCUCCCAGGUCUUAUGUAUGAACUUCGUGCAGGUGAAGAUCCCUGCCAGUCAGUUUGGGCAGAGAUUCUGGGAGCUUCUACCAAAUCUUUCGUUCUUGAGGAGAAGCAGGCAGCUGUGGUUUUUAUCUGCUUGCUCUGCAGUGCUCUGGGGUGUCGGGAGAGCUAGGGUGUUUGCUUGUCCAAACUGUCAUCUCUCUCCUCUCCCAGGUGACUAGACUGAGCCAGACACCUCAGAGCUCCAAGACUCGCAAGACAGAUGCCAAUUCUUUAGGUAGCUUCAGAGUGGUUGGGAUGCUGGAUGCACGGAUCAACUCCUUCCCUCAAGAUGAAAGCUGGUAUUUUUUGUCUGAGCAGCCUCGCUUUUAUAAAUGGCCACCAGAAGCUAACAUCUCCAGGAACAAGAGCUGCACGUAUGGGCUGUGACCCAGCCUUCCUCCCCACGUCAGGGCAACUCCCCGCAGCCGGCGCCACGUCUUCAGGAGCUCCACCUUGCGAUGAGACACAAACACACCGCAGCUAGACUGCUGCAAGGCAGGUCCAGGAAUGCAAGGGUACUUUCUCUCUUUAUCUGUAACCUGCUCUGUCUAAAGCAGAAGAUUUAUAAGACCCCCCACCCCACGUCUUCAUGAAGAGUCUACCAACACAGGAAAUAAUAAAGAUGAACAAUAAGAGAACGAGAGAGAGCCACAUACAUAUGCACCCUGUGAAAACAAAUUACAUUCUGUUCACAUAAACUCUUCAGCAGCUGAUAACAGCAAUGUCCAGAUUUCUUGAAAACAGGAUGAAACUGCCAGGACCCCUUCUAGAAGGUCAUCAUUUAUGGAAUAACCACAAAUGCGAUCAAUCAAGUCAUUCCAAUGGAGCAAUAGCCAGUAUGACCUCAACAGACUUCGGCUUUUGGAGCCAGAUCGCUUUAGUGACAGACAUAACCCUGGUGGGUCGGCAGCAUCCUUCACUGCUCACUCUGCCAUCUGCCACUGUGGAAACUUCAUCAUUAAAGGCAGAGUUGUGCUGGACAAAUUUGCAAAUGGUUUUGAGAGCAUUAUUAUUGCACAGAAUGUUACCAUCUGUAAGUAGGCAAAUCUGAAUUAAACAAUGUAUGUCUACCUAACUUUCUUUCUCUGUGUAUAUCUUAAUAGAAAAUGUGCAUGCAUUAAUCUCAAAAUUGGAACAGUUCAAAAAGGAACAUUUCCUUUGUAUGAUGGAAUUAGAGCCUUGCAAAGGACCUUGAGAGCUUAACUUCUGACUUUUAAAUACAUCUGCAUUUAAACUACGACAGAUCAAAGAAUAUCUAUGUUAUUUUGCCUGUCCUUCUUCACAAAGUAUUUUUAAUUGUCUGAUUUAACUCACAUUUUCUAUUGCAUUAUCAUAUUAUUAUCAAAUAUUCCCAUUUCCAUAUAUAUGUAUGUAUGCUUUUUAAAAAAAUAUUUCAACUGUAUCUUUGAGAUAGCACCAGCUACCCUCUUGCAACUUUCAAUGCCAUGAAAUAAAUUAUAGAGAUUAUAAAGACAAAUUAAUGAAAACCUUUAAACCAGAAUUUUCAAUUCAUAAGCCAGGACUGUUUUAUACAUAUGAUAUGUAUGAGAUAUAUAUUAAGUAUGUAUAUAUUUAUAUAUAUUCAUAUUCUUUAGGUCCUACUACAUAGGAUUAAGAUUAAUAUAAUUGUUAUUGUAUAAGUAUAAUAAUAUAGUAUUUUAUAUUAUGUUGUUAUAUUAUUAUUAUUAUAUUUUUAUAAUUGUCAGUGUACAGACGAGGUAACCAAGGGCAACUUGCUGCUCAGGACCAACAGUUUGUAAGCUAUAGAUUAGAGAUUUUUAACUCAGCCUAUCUGGGUCUAGAAUCUGUUAUCACCUGAUCAGAGUCUGGAUCUCUAGAGUUUAAAAAGAUGUUCAUAGAUGCUCUGUGGUAAUGAUGGAAGUAGAAGAAGGUGUUCUAUGGACACAAAAAGUAAAGAAUGGCAUUAUAGAAUUUUCUGUACCAAGUGUUAGUGCUCAAAUGUACUGCCCCAAUACACUCACUUUUCACUGUUGAAUUUUAAAGACAGAAGGAAAAUAUCAAAGAGACACAAAGUACCUAAU